AGUCGAACGGCAGCACGGACUUCGGUCUGGUGGCGAGUGGCGAACGGGUGAGUAAUGUAUCGGAACGUGCCUAGUAGCGGGGGAUAACUACGCGAAAGCGUAGCUAAUACCGCAUACGCCCUUCGGGGGAAGCGGGGACCUUUCGCCUCGCACUAUUAGAGCGGCCGAUAUCGGAUUAGCUAGUUGGUGGGGUAACGGCUCACCAAGGCGACGAUCCGUAGCUGGUUUGAGAGGACGACCCAGCCACACUGGGACUGAGACACGGCCUGGACUCACGGGAGGCAGCAGUGGGGAAUUUUGGACAAUGGGGAAAUCCUCGAUCCAGCCAUCUCAUGUGUGCGAUGAAGGCUCGCUGUAAAGCACUUUUGGCAGGAAGAAACGGCACGGAUAAUACCCCGUGCAACUGACGGUACCUGCAGAAUAAGCACCGGCUAACUACGUGCCAGCAGCCGCGGUAAUACGUAGGGGUGCAAGCGUUAAUCGGAAUUACUGGGCGUAUGUGCGGCAGGCGGUUCGGAAAGAAAGAUGUGAAAUCCCAGAGCUUAACUUUGGAACUGCAUUUUUAACUACCGAGCUAGAGUGUAAAUAGGGAGGGAGGUGGAAUUCCGCGUGUAGCAGUGAAAUGCGUAGAUAUGCGGAGGAACACCGAUGGCGAAGGCAGCCUCCCUGGGAUAACACUGACGCCUGCUAUGCACGAAAGCGUGGGGAGCAAACAGGAUUAGAUACCCUGGUGUAAGUCCAUGCCCUAAACGAUGUCAACUAGCUGUUGGGGCCUUUCGGGCCUGGUAGCGCAGCUAACGCGUGAAGUUGACCGCCUGGGGAGCAUGGUCGCAAGAUUAAAACUCAAAGGAAUUGACGGGGAACGCAAGCGGUGGAUGAUGACGACCUGAUGCAACGCGAAAACCUUACCUACCCUUGACAUGUCUGGAAUGCCGAAGAUUUGGCAGUGCUCGCAAGAGAACCGGAACACAGGUGCUGCAUGGUUGUCGUCAGCUCGUGUCGUGAGAUGUUGGGUUAAGUCCCGCAACGAGCGCACCUUCUUGUCAGUUAGUAUUUCAUGGCGUGACGACAGACUUCUAAUAGACCUGCAUGUGACAACUGGAGAAGGUGAU
rnacentral:misc_RNA from 1 species